AGGUAUCAAAAGUCAAUCUCAGCUAUCAACUGAAGCUGAGUAUGGUAGCCUAUGCCUAUAAAUCCCACGGUCAGAAGGCUGAGGCAGGAGGAUUGUCAAAAGCUCGAGACCAGACUGGACUGCUGUGCAAAGCCAAAAACAAAAAAAAACAAAAAUGAAAAGAUGCUGAUUUGGUGGAGCUCUGUCCGACAGCAGCUUUCCCUUCAAAUAUCUGUUAGACCUUUGGAAAUGUGGCAAAAUCUGGACCUGCAGCCAUGCCUUCUGUGAAUGGCUUUCUCUCUGGCUCAAAGGCCACUUAGCUGUCCUUGUGGCCUUUCCCUGCUGAGUUCCUGAGGGUCUGAGAGAGCAUGCUGUGACAGCAUCCCCUGAAUUGUAGAAGCAGCAUAAAGAACUCUUCUCAUAUGACCUAACCCCACUGCAGCAGCACAUGGACCAUGGACUUCUGUGUGGAAUCGGGUGACAGCACGAAUCGUGAACAUCCACAUGGCCUCUAGUGUCAACACAGACCAAGGACCUCAGCAUGCUCUUCGGUGAUAGCACAGAACAAGGACAUCAACAUCUCCUUGGCCACAGCCCGGACCACAAACACCAUCAUGAUGUGGGCACAGGCCAUGGACACCAACAUGGCCCCUGGCGGUUGAACAGACCAAGGGCAUCCACUUGACUUUUGAUGAUAACAUGGACUACAGACAUCAAGAUGGCCUCCUACAGGAACACAGACCACGGGCAUCCACAUAGUUCUCUGAACUUGAUCAUGGCCUUUGGUGGCAGCACAGGUCAUGGGCAUCAAUGUGGGCUCUCAUGGAAGGUAGCAUGUAGGGGUGGUCUAAGGUGCUAGAUUUAGACUUAUCUUUUCAAAGCAUAGGCAACUUCUCUCUCCAAAGUGCCCUAAAUAUUUAAUCUUUUGGGUAGGUUGACAGUGGCAGCUCCUGCAGGCCAGGCCUUCUCUCUGACAGGCCCAGAGAAAGGACACUUCAGCUUCAACAGCUAGAUUCCCUCAAUGGUGUCUCAGUCUCCUCCCCAAACGUAGCUCUUGUGC
rnacentral:lncRNA from 1 species